rnacentral:rRNA from 1 species
GAUGAACGCUGGCGGCGUGCUUAACACAUGCAAGUCGAACGGUGAAGCCAAGCUUGCUUGGUGGAUCAGUGGCGAACGGGUGAGUAACACGUGAGCAACCUGCCCUGGACUCUGGGAUAAGCGCUGGAAACGGCGUCUAAUACUGGAUAUGAGACGUGAUCGCAUGGUCAACGUUUGGAAAGAUUUUUCGGUCUGGGAUGGGCUCGCGGCCUAUCAGCUUGUUGGUGAGGUAAUGGCUCACCAAGACGUCGACGGGUAGCCGGCCUGAGAGGGUGACCGGCCACACUGGGACUGAGACACGGCCCAGACUCCUACGGGAGGCAGCAGUGGGGAAUAUUGCACAAUGGGCGGAAGCCUGAUGCAGCAACGCCGCGUGAGGGAUGACGGCCUUCGGGUUGUAAACCUCUUUUAGCAGGGAAGAAGCGAAAGUGACGGUACCUGCAGAAAAAGCGCCGGCUAACUACGUGCCAGCAGCCGCGGUAAUACGUAGGGCGCAAGCGUUAUCCGGAAUUAUUGGGCGUAAAGAGCUCGUAGGCGGUUUGUCGCGUCUGCUGUGAAAUCCCGAGGCUCAACCUCGGGCCUGCAGUGGGUACGGGCAGACUAGAGUGCGGUAGGGGAGAUUGGAAUUCCUGGUGUAGCGGUGGAAUGCGCAGAUAUCAGGAGGAACACCGAUGGCGAAGGCAGAUCUCUGGGCCGUAACUGACGCUGAGGAGCGAAAGGGUGGGGAGCAAACAGGCUUAGAUACCCUGGUAGUCCACCCCGUAAACGUUGGGAACUAGUUGUGGGGACCAUUCCACGGUUUCCGUGACGCAGCUAACGCAUUAAGUUCCCCGCCUGGGGAGUACGGCCGCAAGGCUAAAACUCAAAGGAAUUGACGGGGACCCGCACAAGCGGCGGAGCAUGCGGAUUAAUUCGAUGCAACGCGAAGAACCUUACCAAGGCUUGACAUACACCAGAACGGGCCAGAAAUGGUCAACUCUUUGGACACUGGUGAACAGGUGGUGCAUGGUUGUCGUCAGCUCGUGUCGUGAGAUGUUGGGUUAAGUCCCGCAACGAGCGCAACCCUCGUUCUAUGUUGCCAGCACGUAAUGGUGGGAACU